GAAGCGGCAAUAGCUCAAAUUUGAAAGCUGGCCCCCUUUGGGGUCCGCGUUGUAAUUUGUAGAGGAUGAUUCGGCGAGGGCUCCCGUCUAAGUCCCCUGGAACGGGGCGUCAUAGAGGGUGAGAAUCCCGUAUGUGAUGGGUUGCCUUAGCCAUGUGAAUCUCCUUCGACGAGUCGAGUUGUUUGGGAAUGCAGCUCUAAAUGGGAGGUAAAUUUCUUCUAAAGCUAAAUACCGGCCAGAGACCGAUAGCGCACAAGUAGAGUGAUCGAAAGAUGAAAAGCACUUUGGAAAGAGAGUUAAAAAGUACGUGAAAUUGUUGAAAGGGAAGCGCUUGCAGCCAGACUUGUCCGCAGUUGCUCAGCCGGUCUCCUGACCGGCGUACUCUUCUGCGGCCAGGCCAGCAUCAGUUCGGGCGGUCGGAUAAAGACCUCGGGAAUGUAGCUCCUCUCGGGGAGUGUUAUAGCCCGGGGUGGAAUGCGGCCAGCCUGGACUGAGGAUCUCGCUUCGGCUAGGAUGCUGGCGUAAUGGCUGUAAGCGGCCCG
rnacentral:rRNA from 1 species